rnacentral:rRNA from 1 species
UGAAAUUGAACUCGCUGUGAAGAUGCAGUGUACCCGCGGCAAGACGGAAAGACCCCGUGAACCUUUACUAUAGCUUGACACUGAACAUUGAGCCUUGAUGUGUAGGAUAGGUGGGAGGCUUUGAAGUGUGGACGCCAGUCUGCAUGGAGCCGACCUUGAAAUACCACCCUUUAAUGUUUGAUGUUCUAACGUUGACCCGUAAUCCGGGUUGCGGACAGUGUCUGGUGGGUAGUUUGACUGGGGCGGUCUCCUCCUAAAGAGUAACGGAGGAGCACGAAGGUUGGCUAAUCCUGGUCGGACAUCAGGAGGUUAGUGCAAUGGCAUAAGCCAGCUUGACUGCGAGCGUGACGGCGCGAGCAGGUGCGAAAGCAGGUCAUAGUGAUCCGGUGGUUCUGAAUGGAAGGGCCAUCGCUCAACGGAUAAAAGGUACUCCGGGGAUAACAGGCUGAUACCGCCCAAGAGUUCAUAUCGACGGCGGUGUUUGGCACCUCGAUGUCGGCUCAUCACAUCCUGGGGCUGAAGUAGGUCCCAAGGGUAUGGCUGUUCGCCAUUUAAAGUGGUACGCGAGCUGGGUUUAGAACGUCGUGAGACAGUUCGGUCCCUAUCUGCCGUGGGCGCUGGAGAACUGAGGGGGGCUGCUCCUAGUACGAGAGGACCGGAGUGGACGCAUCACUGGUGUUCGGGUUGUCAUGCCAAUGGCACUGCCCGGUAGCUAAAUGCGGAAGAGAUAAGUGCUGAAAGCAUCUAAGCACGAAACUUGCCCCGAGAUGAGUUCUCCCUGACUCCUUGAGAGUCCUGAAGGAACGUUGAAGACGACGACGUUGAUAGGCCGGGUGUGUAAGCGCAGCGAUGCGUUGAGCUAACCGGUACUAAUGAACCGUGAGG